GAAUAAGUUAAUAAGAGCAUACGGUGGAUGCCUUGGCGGUAAAAGACGAUAAAAGACGUGGUAGGCUGCGAUAAGCUGCGGGUAGGCGCCGAACAGCCUUUAAUCCGCAGAUUUCUGAAUGGGGAAACCCACCGCGAGUCAUGUCGCGGUACCUACACCUGAAUACAUAGGGUGUAAGGAGAUAACCAGGGGAACUGAACCAUCUAAGUACCCUGAGGAAAAGAAAUCAACCGAGAUUCCCAAAGUAGUGGCGAGCGAAAUGGGAACAGCCCAAACUCAUCGGGCGUGAUAGCGUGAAGGCGUUUCCUGAUGAGGGUUAUAGGAGUUGCCGUUCGUUUCUUCGCAAACGAGGAAAAGUCAAAAAACCAGGUUAUAGUGGAAAAGAGAUGGAAAUCUUUACCAUAGAAGGUAAUAGUCCUGUACAUGAAAUGUUCUGGUCUUUUCUGGCAACCACCUGAGUACAACGGGACACGUGCAAUCCUGUUGGAAUUCGCGGGGACCACCCUGCAAGGCUAAAUACUCUUUACCGACCGAUAGUGAACUAGUACCGUGAGGGAAAGGUGAAAAGAACCCCGGGAGGGGAGUGAAAUAGUACCUGAAACCGUAUGCUUACAAGUUGUGGAAGGGCGCGACGAAAGUUGUGCCUGACUGCGUACUUUUUGUAGAACGGGCCGGCGAGUUAUGGUAUGCAGCAAGGUUAACCAGUAAGGGUAGCCGAAGCGAAAGCGAGUCUUAAAUGGGCGAAUUAGUUGCAUGCCAUAGACCCGAAGCUGAGUGAGCUAUCCAUGGCCAGGGUGAAUCGAGGGUAAGACCUCGUGGAGGCCCGAACCCACAAGCGUUGAAAAGCUUGGGGAUGAGCUGUGGAUAGGGGCGAAAGACCUAUCAAACUCAGAAAUAGCUGGUUCUCCCCGAAAUAGCUUUAGGGCUAGCCUCAAGUGUUCAGUCAUAGAGGUAGAGCACUGAAUAGACUAAGGGCCUCACAAGGUUACUAACUCUAAUCAAACUCCGAAUGCUAUGACCUAAAAGCUUGGGAGUCAGACAGUGGGGGAUAAGCUCCAUUGUCGAGAGGGAAAAAGCCCAGACCACCAGCUAAGGUCCCUAAAUAUGGACUAAGUGGUAAAGGAUGUGGGAUUGCACAGACAGCCAGGAUGUUGGCUUAGAAGCAGCAAUCAUUAAAAGAGUGCGUAAUAGCUCACUGGUCAAGUGGUCCUGCGCCGACAAUGUCCGGGGCUAAAGUCCAUUACCGAAGCUGUGGAAUUCGAGCAAUCGGAUUGGUAGGGGAGCAUUCUCUGCAGGAGUGAAGCUGCGCCGUGAGGCGUGGUGGACCGCAGAGAAGAGAGAAUGCCGGCAUGAGUAGCGAGAGACAAGCGAGAAACUUGUCCGCCGAAAGCCUAAGGUUUCCUGGGGAAGGUUAAUCCGCUCAGGGUUAGUCAGGGCCUAAGUCGAGGCCGAGAGGCGUAGACGAUGGAUAACAGGUUAAUAUUCCUGUACCGCUAAAUUGCGCCUGAGCAAUGGGGUGACGCAGUAGGGUAGACCAUCGCGGUUUGGUUGUCUGCGUUUAAAUACCAAGAGUGUCUUUUUGGCAAAUCCGGGAGACAUCAAGCUCAAGGUAUGAUGACGAUCCUCUUUUGGAGAAGUGGUUGAUCUCACACUGCCAAGAAAAGCCUCUAGCAAGCAAUUUGGCGCCUGUACCAAAACCGACACAGGUAGGCGAGGAGAGAAUCCUAAGGCGAUCGAGAGAACUCUCGUUAAGGAACUCGGCACAUUGACCCCGUAACUUCGGAAGAAGGGGUGCCUCGGUAGGGUGAAAUCGCAAGAUCCAGCCCGAGGAGGCUGCAAUAAUCAGGCUCAAGCGACUGUUUACUAAAAACACAGGUCUCUGCAAAGUCGUAAGACGACGUAUAGGGACU
rfam:Omnitrophica WOR_2 bacterium RBG_13_44_8 RBG_13_scaffold_16250_curated, whole genome shotgun sequence.